GAUGAACGCUGGCGGCGUGCUUAACACAUGCAAGUCGAACGGAAAGGCCCAAGCUUGCUUGGGUACUCGAGUGGCGAACGGGUGAGUAACACGUGGGUGAUCUGCCCUGCACUUCGGGAUAAGCCUGGGAAACUGGGUCUAAUACCGGAUAGGACCACUUCUUGGAUGUUGUGGUGGAAAGUUUUUUCGGUGUGGGCUGAGCUCGCGGCCUAUCAGCUUGUUGGUGGGGUAAUGGCCUACCAAGGCGUCGACGGGUAGCCGGCCUGGGAGGGUGUACGGCCACAGUGGGACUGAGACACGGCCCAGACUCCUACGGGAGGCAGCAGUGGGGAAUAUUGCACAAUGGGCGCAAGCCUGAUGCAGCGACGCCGCGUGGGGGAGGACGGCCUUCGGGUUGGAAACUCAUUUCGCUAGGGACGAAGCGUUUUGUGACGGUACCUGGAGAAGAAGCACCGGCUAACUACGUG
rnacentral:rRNA from 1 species